AUAGUAUCUUUUCCUGCAGUCUGACAUGUUUUCUUUUCCCAUCUUAUAAUCUUAUCUUCUAGAUAGCUACAGCAAAGGUGCAGCUGAGUGACUUCCUUUCCUUGAAGCACCCCAAGUGAGGCUCACAGCCUCGGAUUUACUUUGGAUAAAAGCACGAAAAGCCAACCAUUGACUCAGAGACAAGAUAACUGAAUGGAUCUGAAUGGAUCUUCAUGGUGAAGAAGAAAGAAGAAAAGAGAAGAGGACAGAAAAGGACAAGACAGGGUAAGACAAAAUAGAAAAGAGAAGAAAAGCAAAAAAGGUUAAGCUUGUGAGAACUCAGAGCUCAUAACCUCUCAAGAGCAGGAUAAGGCAUUAAUUAUUUACAAGAUAUCCUUUACAGAGCACAAAAAGAAAGAAAGGAGGAAAGAAAAAAGGAAGAAAGAAAGAAAAUCUGGGAAAGUGUGAUGGACUAGGCUCCUAUUCACUUGUUUAAGCUAAUUCUGCAGACCUGGAGCCUGAGAUCCAUAAACCCAGGAAGAUGGCUGAAGAUCAUGCUGGAUUAAAGCCAAAGCAAGGAACCAGUGGGACAGUGGGCAGACCAGAUGCUUUGAUGACAUGUGACGUAAUGCUGCAAGACUGAAGGUAGGAUUGGAGCUGUGUUUGGUGCAGUAUGUCUUCACAUCUUUUCUGUAGAUCACUGAGGCUC
rnacentral:lncRNA from 1 species